AAAAACAUGUAUAUAUGUAUUUUUUGGGAUUAAUUUUGAAUGAAAAUUAUUUAAUUUUUUCUCUAAUACAAAGAAGAUUUUUCUCUCCAUUUUUCUUUUUUUGCUUUUGAUUUUAUAUUUUGCAAAACAAUUUAUUAUAUAUGAGUUACAAUAAUUAGAGAUCUUAAACAAUGAUUAUACAUACGAGUUUAAUAAGUAACAAUUUUUUUUUUCAAUUUAUGUUCGGACAUGUAAAGAAUCAUGUCCUUCUAAUAUUAUAAAUAAUUGUGCAUUUUGACUAUCUCGACACUUUGGUUGAGAAAGUGAAGUUGUUUGUUCAUGAAGUGACAAGGAAGAACGAUAUUUUGACUUUCACUUAGAUAUAUUUAUCCAAGGUGAAAGCCGCUUUUAAUGAGGUAAAUCGGUCUUUGGAUCUUUGCCCGGAGAAAGACAUAAGAGCUGGAGAAGCCUCUGAAAGAAUCUCAGGAAAGAGAGAAAAUGGCUAUGGACGACCUUCGUACGAUUUCCUUUGAGAAUCUUGAUCUUUAUAAGGAUUUGUCCAAGUCAAUAGAAGAAAGUUACUUCAUUUCCAAUGACACUUUUGAGAGUGCCUUGAAACAUGUGUAGUAUUUUUAUCCUACAGUGUUGAUCUCCUGAGAGCAAGCUCGUCUUGAUCAGACUAUCAAAACUAGAAAGGUGGUCUUCUUGAAGGAUUAAUAUUCCUUUUUUUUCCGGCAUGCUUGUACUCAAAAUUUUCUCAGGUUCUAUUAUCUAGGACAUAGCUUUUUCUCCGAGGUUGCGCUUGAAGUUUAUUGGAAUUCUCUAGGGACAAUGUAUGGCCAAUGGCUGAUACCCCUUCUUUGCCCCCAGAUAAAAACCUAGUUCGAGAUUGACGUAUGACCGACUCACAAUUACCUAUGGAGUGACUAGCUACCAAGAGGGGGUGAGUCGAUAUUUUCCCAUUUGUGGCCUGCUUUCUUUAUGUGUGUGUCAAUUGGAAUAAUGGAAUUUUAAUUGUUUUAAUCAUACAUUUAUGGUAUUUGUGACAACACUUGAGUCUUUGUGA